rnacentral:rRNA from 1 species
AGAGUUUGAUCCUGGCUCAGAUUGAACGCGUGGCGCAUGCCUUACACAUGCAAGUCGAACGGCAGCACGGGUGCUUGCACCUGGUGGCGAGUGGCGAACGGGUGAGUAAUACAUCGGAACAUGUCCAGUAGUGGGGGAUAGCCCGGCGAAAGCCGGAUUAAUACCGCAUACGAUCUAUGGAUGAAAGCGGGGGACCUUCG